rnacentral:lncRNA from 10 species
GUUUUCUUGUGAAGAUGGGGGAAGGGUUUCAGUGCAUACGUUAGAACAAAACUCCCUAAAAGUCCUCUGUAAGCAUCUUUCUUCCGUAAAGUUAGUUUCACUCCACAUAGCAGCUGCUCUAUUUCUUCCCUUUUCACUUUCUCUUUCCCACCAUUUGCCUGAAGCUCCUCAUCCCCUUCCUUGUGCCUCCUCAGAAUUCUACCAGUGCACCUCAUUCAGACAUUCAUCAAGAAAAAGGCCAGCUGAAGGCAGACAGCCAACAAAACUCAGUCGUUAGCCACAGCCCUGGCUGUCCUCGUCCAUCAAGCCUGCCCAUUGUGAGCUUCCAUUCAUCUUACCUGUCUGUUAUGGAAGAGUGAAGUGGAAAAGGCAUGGAGGACUCAGAAGACCUGCUACCGAGAAGAGCCCCAUUGCAAUCAGAAGAUUAUUUAUGGAAAAAAGCAAAAUGGAGAUAUUUAAAAGACGGAGAGAGACAGCAGAAAGCUGCUUAAGAAAUUGCUUUGAGUCCACAGGAGGGAAGCACAAAGGAGAUGGGAUAAUAGUGUUAUACACUACAUGAUAUCACAGAGCUGGCAGAGUUAAUGAGUAUCUUGGACAAUUGCACCAAAUGCAAUGGAUUGGGAUCACUAAAUCAAGACGUAAUUUGAUAGAAAUAAAGAGAUGGGGUCUCUCUCUUCCCCAGGCCGGAGUGCUAGAGUGCACUGGCAUGAUUACAGCUCACUGCAGCCUCGACCUCCUGGGCUCAAUUGAUCCUCUAGCCUCAGCCUCGUAAGUAGUUGGGACUACAGGCGUGUACCACCACAUUUGGCUUUUUUUUUUUUUUUUUGGUAUUUUUUGUAGAGACAAGGUUUUGCUAUGUUGCCCAGGCUAGUCUCGAACUCCCAGGCUCAAGUGAUCCUCCCGCCUUGGCCUCCCAAAGUGC